rnacentral:rRNA from 1 species
GUGGAGAGUUUGAUCCUGGCUCAGAUUGAACGCUGGCGGCAGGCCUAACACAUGCAAGUCGAGCGCUUCCCUUCGGGGAGGAGCGGCGGACGGGUGAGUAACGCGUGGGAACGUACCCUUUUCUGCGGAAUAGCCACUGGAAACGGUGAGUAAUACCGCAUACGCCCUUCGGGGGAAAGAUUUAUCGGGGAAGGAUCGGCCCGCGUUGGAUUAGGUAGUUGGUGGGGUAAUGGCCUACCAAGCCGACGAUCCAUAGCUGGUUUGAGAGGAUGAUCAGCCACACUGGAACUGAGACACGGUCCAGACUCCUACGGGAGGCAGCAGUAGGGAAUAUUGCACAAUGGAGGAAACUCUGAUGCAGCCAUGCCGCGUGUGUGAAGAAGGCCUUAGGGUUGUAAAGCACUUUCAGUAAGGAAGAAAAAGCAGGGUUAAUACCCCUGUCUUAUGACAUUACUUACAGAAGAAGCACCGGCUAACUCCGUGCCAGCAGCCGCGGUAAUACG